UACAGAGGGUGCAAGCGUUGUUCGGAAUUAUUGGGCGUAAAGCGCGUGUAGGCGGCUUUGCAAGUCGGGUGUGAAAGCCCUCAGCUCAACUGAGGAAGUGCGCCCGAAACUGCAGAGCUUGAGUGCCGGAGAGGGUGGCGGAAUUCCCCAAGUAGAGGUGAAAUUCGUAGAUAUGGGGAGGAACACCGGUGGCGAAGGCGGCCACCUGGACGGCAACUGACGCUGAGGUGCGAAAGCGUGGGGAGCAAACAGG
rnacentral:rRNA from 1 species